rnacentral:rRNA from 1 species
CCUACGGGGGGCUGCAGUGGGGAAUAUUGGACAAUGGGCGAAAGCCUGAUCCAGCCAUGCCGCGUGUGUGAAGAAGGCCUUCGGGUUGUAAAGCACUUUCAGUGGGGAAGAAAGCCUUGGGGCUAAUACCCUCGAGGAAGGACAUCACCCACAGAAGAAGCACCGGCUAACUCCGUGCCAGCAGCCGCGGUAAUACGGAGGGUGCGAGCGUUAAUCGGAAUUACUGGGCGUAAAGCGCGCGUAGGCGGUCUGAUAAGCCGGUUGUGAAAGCCCCGGGCUCAACCUGGGAACGGCAUCCGGAACUGUCAGGCUAGAGUGCAGGAGAGGAAGGUAGAAUUCCCGGUGUAGCAGUGAAAUGCGUAGAGAUCGGGAGGAAUACCAGUGGCGAAGGCGGCCUUCUGGACUGACACUGACGCUGAGGUGCGAAAGUGUGGGUAGCAAACAGGAUUAGAUACCCUUGUAGUC